AUGCUACUCCUGGGAGGAAGCUUCAAAGGCCUCAGCCACAAGUAGCUCUAGCUCAAGCAAAAACAAAGCAUGUUGAGAAUUGUGAACAAUCAGUGAUGCAACACAAGGUGGUGCUCUUGUCCCAGUGAGUGCUGUAGAGCCUUGUUAGGGCAUUAGGCAAAGGAUGUACAACUCCAAAAGAUUUGGUUGGUAUAAACGCCAAUGGGGAUCUGCCGGACAGACUGAACAGCUGACUGGGGGGCACAAAGCCAAAGGGCAUGUGCCACCAUGCCUGGCUAAUUUUUGUACUUUUAGUAUAGAUGAGGUUUCACCAUGCUGGCCAGGCUGGUUUCGAACUCCUGACCUAGUGAUCUGUCUGCCUCGGUCUCCCAAAGUACUGGGAUUACAGGUGUAAGCCACUGCACCCAGCCUGAGAGACCGUAUUAUUUCUAGGCCUGAAGAAGCAAGGGGAGAGAGCAGAUACUGUAACACAGAGUGGGUGGCUGUUUGGAGAUAACUGCCCAACCAGAGCUGAAGCUUCCCAAAGAGAGACCAAAUGAUUCACAAUGACCCAGCAGGCAGGGAGCAAGGAAAUUAACAGUCUUACCUCAUUCUCCUAUCAACCCCAAUCUGCCACCAGGCUUCCCACUGACAGAACCUCAUGGAACCUAGAGGGCAAGGGAUUCAGUAGACACGGUCCAUGCAGAACUACCAAAAAGGAUUUCUUAUAAUAAUCUUGAAAUCUAGUCUUAGUGGAGAAAGAAAAAGAAUUUCCAAUUGUGUAGCUCCCAUUAACAUACCAAGAACCAGGUCUGGGAACUUAGGUUGUUGCAUUUUUUCCCAGCUUUGAAAUGGUACUGCCUCUAAGGAUGAUGGCUAGGCCAUGAAGUUUGCUAUUCUAGGGGAAAAGAGGGAUUGGAAGAAAGAAGAAAGCCUGAAUCUGUCUGUUCUGUCCCCAGGAGAAUGAUAAGGGGAGAGAGUAAGAAAGCAAUGAGAUACACAUGUCUUGACUGCUUCUCUUCAUGCUGAAAUCCUGGGGGAAAGAAGUGCUAAAUCAGUUGAGGACAUGGGAACAUUUAUUCUGGUGAGUGGAUGUUGAGGGCAGAGGGGUGUUUGCCCCAUUCCUUUGGUGUGCUGAGUGUUAACCACUUUGCAGGGAGAGCUGUAUGGGGCGUCAUGUUAACAUGAAGUCAUUAGGUGGGCCUUAAUCCAAUAUAACUGAUGUCUUCAUAAAGGAAGAAAUUUGGGUACAGAGACAGACAAGCACCAAGAGAAGAUGAUGUGAAGAAGCACAGCGAGAACACCAUGUGAAAAUGGAGGACUGGAAUGAAGCAUCUACAAGCCAGGAAAUGUCUGAGGCUACCAGAAGCCAGGAGAGAGGCCUGGAACAGAUCCUGCACUAGAACCUUCAAAGAGAGCAUGGUCCUGCUGACAUGUUGAUUUUGGACUUCUGGCCUCCAGAGCUGUGAGAAUAAAUUUCAGUUGUUUUAAGCCAUC
rnacentral:lncRNA from 10 species